rnacentral:rRNA from 1 species
UUUUAUGAGAGUUUGAUCCUGGCUCAGGACGAACGCUGGCGGCGUGCCUAAUACAUGCAAGUCGAACGCUUCUUUUUCCACCGGAGCUUGCUCCACCGGAAAAAGAGGAGUGGCGAACGGGUGAGUAACACGUGGGUAACCUGCCCAUCAGAAGGGGAUAACACUUGGAAACAGGUGCUAAUACCGUAUAACAAUCGAAACCGCAUGGUUUUGAUUUGAAAGGCGCUUUCGGGUGUCGCUGAUGGAUGGACCCGCGGUGCAUUAGCUAGUUGGUGAGGUAACGGCUCACCAAGGCCACGAUGCAUAGCCGACCUGAGAGGGUGAUCGGCCACAUUGGGACUGAGACACGGCCCAAACUCCUACGGGAGGCAGCAGUAGGGAAUCUUCGGCAAUGGACGAAAGUCUGACCGAGCAACGCCGCGUGAGUGAAGAAGGUUUUCGGAUCGUAAAACUCUGUUGUUAGAGAAGAACAAGGAUGAGAGUAACUGUUCAUCCCUUGACGGUAUCUAACCAGAAAGCCACGGCUAACCACGUGCCAGCAGCC